rnacentral:rRNA from 1 species
GCUAACUACGUGCCAGCAGCCGCGGUAAUACGUAGGGGGCGAGCGUUGUCCGGAGUUACUGGGCGUAAAGGGCGUGUAGGCGGUUUAUUAAGUCAGGUGUGAAAUUCCAGGGCUUAACCCUGGAACUGCGCUUGAAACUGAUAGGCUUGAGGACAGGAGAGGGAAGUGGAAUCCCCGGUGUAGCGGUGAAAUGCGUAGAUAUCGGGGGGAACACCAGUGGCGAAGGCGGCUUCCUGGACUGUACCUGACGCUGAGGCGCGAAAGCUAGGGGAGCAAACAGGAUUAGAUACCCUGGUAGUC